UACGAAGGGGGCGAGCGUUGUUCGGAUUUACUGGGCGUAAAGGGCUCGUAGGCGGCCAACUAAGUCAGACGUGAAAUCCCUCAGCUUAACUGGGGAACUGCGUCUGAUACUGGAUGGCUUGGAUUUGGGAGAGGAAUGCGGAAUUCCAGGUGUAGCGGUGAAAUGCGUAGAUAUCUGGAGGAACACCGGUGGCGAAGGCGGCAUUCUGGACCAAUAUUGACGCUGAGGAGCGAAAGCCAGGGGAGCAAACGGG
rnacentral:rRNA from 1 species